GAAUUCGAUUAACGCGAAGAACUUUACUUGGGUUAGACAACGGCGGACAGUCCUAGAAAUAGGGCCUUCCCUUCGGGGACCGCCGGUUCAGGUGCUGCAUGGCUGUCGUCAGCUCGUGCCGUGAGGUGUUGGGUUAAGUCCCGCAACGAGCGCAACCCUCGCCCUUAGUUGCCACCAUUCAGUUGGGCACUCUAGGGGGACUGCCGGCGUUAAGCCGGAGGAAGGUGGGGACGACGUCAAGUCAUCAUGGCCCUUAUGUCCAGGGCCACACACGUGCUACAAUGGGCGGUACAAAGGGUCGCGAACCCGCGAGGGGGAGCCAAUCCCAAAAAGCCGCUCUCAGUUCGGAUUGGAGUCUGCAACUCGACUCCAUGAAGUUGGAAUCGCUAGUAAUCGCGGAUCAGCACGUCGCGGUGAAUACGUUCCCGGGCCUUGUCACACCGAAUCACUA
rnacentral:rRNA from 1 species